AUAAAAAAAGUCACUAGGUAGAUACAGAACUGAGCUUCGCAUGAACAAAAAGUUUUAAAAAAGUGUUAUUAACAUCGAAGUUAUAAUGUUCCAGACAUUGCUGACAAAGCCAUGAUUACAAACAUUCAUUUAAUCUCAACAACCUUUUUAGAAGGUAGAGCAUAAUAUGGACAACGGACCUUACUUUAUACUGUUGAGUUAUUGUAUAUAUUAAAACUCUUUGUAACUUAGUAUAGGCAAUUAAAGUUCAAUGCUUUAAAAGCUGAUCAUUCAGAUUUAAAUAUUCGAGUAUGACGUUCUUUUCCCGCGUGUGACAACAAACACUGUACCAUCCU
rnacentral:lncRNA from 1 species